CAACAGCUAUCUGCCCUCCAACAGCAGUGUGCUUUGUGUGUCAACUAAACACGCAUAUCCAGCACAUAUAAAAGCAUUAUGAUGCUCAGAAUCCCAAGAAAUGGAUUCCUCCCCCAAAAUGCAUUAGUGAAGUAAUUCAGAAAUAAAAGGGUGACUGUGUGCACUGGCCAGAAACAGUCAAGUGUCGCUGAGCCCUGGUGAGCACUGAUAAUAACUCGCCAGAAAACAUCGGCUGCGCUGUGAAAAGAGACAUCAGAAACACACAACAUAUCCAAGAGACCUUGGAGCAGAGGAAGCAUCUGUCUUUUUAAAACCUCAUUACUGUGGAGUACAAGGGCUCCAGCUCACAAACCACAAAUUACAUCAGCAACAAGCUGCCUUCUAAAGGACAGAGAUCCAAACAGCCUACAUACACAGGUACCCCAGGCUUGGAGAUGUGCAGGAAUGUUCCAGGGAAAAGUCACUUUGCUGUUAUUCUGAGCCAUCCUCAGGCUGGUGAGUACACACUGCAGCUACUUUAUCAAGCUGAAAUGAGGCCAACUGCAGUUCGGCGGCAGCAGCAGAGUGAGGUGCAGAGGAUCCAUCCCUGCCUCCAGUGGAUGUUCUGUGAUUCCGUGGCUGACUGCAUCCACCUGCAUCUCAGGGGGCUACAGCAGAAUGACUGCUCCAUGGGUAAGCUGCCUCUGACAUUGGAUGUGGCACCUCCAAUACCUCCACCUCUCUUUUCCCUGUGACAGAAGAGGUUUUACUCCAGAGGAGGCUCUGCUGCUGCUGAGCCCCAGCCUGCCCAGCCCUGGCCUUCCCAGCACACACGUUCCAUCUGCAGCAGGAGUGGGCACACGGUCCUAUUUCUGCAGAAGGAGCCAAAGCAGAGGAGAUGAAGUUCAUACUGGUUUUAUGCCAACUUUCUUGCAGCAGUGGGAGUACAGACAACACCUGACUCAGCAGAAAGCCCUACGCUAUAAUCUAUCAAAAAAUUUUCAAAUAAAUCUGAAUUACAAGA